rnacentral:rRNA from 1 species
AGCGAACGCUGGCGGCAGGCCUAACACAUGCAAGUCGAACGGACCCUUCGGGGUUAGUGGCGGACGGGUGAGUAACACGUGGGAACGUGCCUUUAGGUUCGGAAUAGCUCCUGGAAACGGGUGGUAAUGCCGAAUGUGCCCUUCGGGGGAAAGAUUUAUCGCCUUUAGAGCGGCCCGCGUCUGAUUAGCUAGUUGGUGGUGUAACGGACCACCAAGGCGACGAUCAGUAGCUGGUCUGAGAGGAUGAUCAGCCACAUUGGGACUGAGACACGGCACAAACUCCUACGGGAGGCAGCAGUGGGGAAUCUUGCGCAAUGGGCGAAAGCCUGACGCAGCCAUGCCGCGUGAAUGAUGAAGGUCUUAGGAUUGUAAAAUUCUUUCACCGGGGACGAUAAUGACGGUACCCGGAGAAAAAGCCCCGGCUAACUUCGUGCCAGCCGCCGCCGUAAGAC